rnacentral:tRNA from 1 species
UUUUUUUGUGGUGUAAUAGCACGAAAGAUUUUCAAUUUCUAGGAGUAAUAUAGAUAAUUAAAUUUACUGAAUUU